rnacentral:rRNA from 1 species
GUUUGAUCCUGGCUCAGGACGAACGCUGGCGGCGUGCCUAAUACAUGCAAGUAGAACGCUGAAGAGAGGAGCUUGCUCUUCUUGGAUGAGUUGCGAACGGGUGAGUAACGCGUAGGUAACCUGCCUUGUAGCGGGGGAUAACUAUUGGAAACGAUAGCUAAUACCGCAUAACAAUGGGUGACACAUGUCAUUUAUUUGAAAGGGGCAAUUGCUCCACUACAAGAUGGACCUGCGUUGUAUUAGCUAGUAGGUGAGGUAACGGCUCACCUAGGCGACGAUACAUAGCCGACCUGAGAGGGUGAUCGGCCACACUGGGACUGAGACACGGCCCAGACUCCUACGGGAGGCAGCAGUAGGGAAUCUUCGGCAAUGGGGGCAACCCUGACCGAGCAACGCCGCGUGAGUGAAGAAGGUUUUCGGAUCGUAAAGCUCUGUUGUAAGUCAAGAACGAGUGUGAGAGUGGAAAGUUCACACUGUGACGGUAGCUUACCAGAAAGGGACGGCUAACUACGUGCCAGCAGCCGCGGUAAUACGUAGGUCCCGAGCGUUGUCCGGAUUUAUUGGGCGUAAAGCGAGCGCAGGCGGUUUGAUAAGUCUGAAGUUAAAGGCUGUGGCUCAACCAUAGUUCGCUUUGGAAACUGUCAAACUG